UACGAAGGGGGCUAGCGUUGUUCGGAAUUACUGGGCGUAAAGCGCACGUAGGCGGAUAUUUAAGUCAGGGGUGAAAUCCCAGAGCUCAACUCUGGAACUGCCUUUGAUACUGGGUAUCUUGAGUAUGGAAGAGGUAAGUGGAAUUGCGAGUGUAGAGGUGAAAUUCGUAGAUAUUCGCAGGAACACCAGUGGCGAAGGCGGCUUACUGGUCCAUAA
rnacentral:rRNA from 1 species